CCCUUAGAUGUUCUGGGCUGCACGCGCGCUACACUGACACACUCAGCGAGUUCCCGUACCGAGAGGUUCGGGUAAUCAUGUGAGCGUGUGUCGUGAUGGGGAUAGAAUAUUGUAAUUAUUGCUCUUCAACGAGGAAUUCCUAGUAAGCGCAAGUCAGCAGCUUGCGCUGAUUACGUCCCUGCCCUUUGUACACACCGCCCGUCGCUCCUACCGAUUGGGUGAUCCGGUGAAUGACUCGGACUUUGACGUUCCUAGACACUAGGUUCGUCGAGGGAAGUUUUGUGAACCUUAUCACUUGGAGGAAGGAGAANUCGUAACA
rnacentral:rRNA from 1 species